CCAGAACUCCUAUUUGCUCUGCAAGUGCUUUAGAUGGGGUCUCUCCGCUGUGAGUCCAAAAGGCGUUUGGAAUUCUUUCUUUCCAUCCCUGCUCCUAUACUCUCUCAAGGCUUCAUGCUACCGUUGCUCUUAAUGCCACAAGGAAAGAGAUGAGUGCCAAGGAUCAGUUUAUUGGGUAAUGCAUCUAUUUAUAGGUUUGGUGAGAUUGGGAAUUUAUAGGUGAGCAACACUUGAGGGUGGCGUUAAACACAGCUGUGAGUUUGGAAGAGAGGAAACAGGUUUGUACCUGUGACCAUUUAGUAUGCUCCGCACCUGUGCCCUCCACUUCCCACCUGACGCCAGGAAAAUCCUCUGCCCCUCACUUCGAAGGCCGGGGACCCCGGGACCUCUGAGGCUCUGGAAACACCUUCUGGCCUCCCUGUAAGUAGGUGUGGUGGGAGACUAAGUCUAUGCCCUGCAGAAGAAGAAAUGAAUGGAGAGCUUACUAGUUUCAGCCUGUCAACAGUCAACACAAAAAUGUAAGAGGCGAAAAAAAAGUAACCCUGGAAAUUGUCUGGGUUAGCCGUCCUGACAUAUCCUAAUCAAAGACAUCUUAUUGCAAAGACAUCCUGUCUCAGUUAAUUAAUCUCAAAAACAGAAGAACGAAUUCUUGCCCAGAAAUCACUCAAGAGUUGCUGUGAAGAUCAAGCAAGAUUAUGUAUGGGGACAGCACCUUACAUUGUCAAGUGCUGUGCCAAGGUCAGACGUCAUUAUUGGAGUGACUAAUUGGGCUAUUACGAAUAUCACUCUUUGUCUUGUCUUGUGUAGACACAAAGUCAACAGAUUCUGUUAGCAGAGAGUUAGAUAAGGCUGUCAUAGGAUUUGAAAUGAAAGUAAUGGUACACUUCUUCCUUAAGAUAGCCUUCUGCCCGUCGCUUGUCACCCAGCCUGGAACCGUGAUUUCUUAAACCCUAGCUCCGUCUAGUGGUUCUUUGUUCUAUUACAAAUGAGACAACAGUGGUUGAAGAGAACUUGACUCUGAAAUGUGUUUGCUACUGAGCUGAGUCGGUUUGUUGCCUACCCACUUCAUUUUAAUAAGUUCAUUUAAAUAAGGUUUUUAAGGUUGUGUUAUUGCACAAACAUGCCAAAGGAAGAUUUUUCAUGAAAAUAUUAAAAACCCAUCAAGAAACCUCAUAAUCCUGCUUGUGAAAGGAAGAUAAAAUAAUGCAGAGGGGAAAACUAUCAGAGAGAAUUAAUAUAGUUUCUCAGGUUUUAAUGAGCUUGCAUGUGCUACAGCUUAGAUAAAAAAGGAAACAGAUGAUUUUAGUUUGAGAUGAGAGAUGUUAAAGUCCUGGUGGACUACCAGAUAAGAAAAAGAAACAAGGCGAUGUCUUCCAUUUGAAGUGUACUACCGAAGAAGAUCUCAACAUGUACUGUGCUUGUGUGUCUGUGCGUGUGUGUGUGCGUGUGUGUGUGUGCGUGUGUCUGUGCGUGUGUGUGUGUCUGUGCGUGUGUGUUGGUACCUUUUUGAAUAUUAAAAUUUUGGGUAGCCCACUUGAAGAAAUUAAGAUCUAAAACGAAGUAGUGCUACUACAAAGUGUUCUUUUUUUAAAGUUUUCAACCUCUAGAUUGUGUGCCUUAACACGAUGACAUUAUUUUAUAUCUUUUUGCUUAAGUAAGACUGGAUGCUUAUAAAAGCACUGUUAUAUUGUGUUAUGGCACUUUAAGUACUUGCUUAGAAAUGAUCAUUUCUUUAUUGUGUGCUUCUUAAGAAUGUUUCUGGUCAGUCACCUUUCCUUUCGAGGUCUUCCUUAUUCAAACUAACGUGGGUUUUAGGUUAAGAUCACAGUCAUUACCUGGGGAUGCAAGAGGAAGAUAAUUACUAUGUGAACAGCUGUUUUGCCAUAAAAAAAAAUGCUGAAGAUGUUCAUGGAUUUUUAAAUAAAGUAAAUAUUGAAGAGUUAAAUUGUUAAAAAGUCAGCAAUCUUUCAUCACAAUGUGACAGUGUGUCCUAUAGUCUGUGGAGGUACACCCAGUUCUUCCCUCAUUCCCUUGGUUCACUCACAACAUAUCUGACUGUAGGAAUAGAAUCACAUUCUGCCCUGUCCACAGCCACAUUCUCAAUAUUUACAGGUAAAGGUGGCACAUGCUCCAGUAAACACUCCCUCUUUCUUGGUGCUAGUUAACAAAUAAUGGUGGCACAUGCUCCAGUAAACACUCCCUCUUUCUUGGUGCUAGUUAACAAAUAAUGGUGGCACAUGCUCCAGUAAACACUCCCUCUUUCUUGGUGCUAGUUAACAAAUAAUGGUGGCACAUGCUCCAGUAAACACUCCCUCUUUCUUGGUGCUAGUUAACAAAUAAUGGUGGCAUAUGUUCCAGUAAACACUCCCUCUUUCUUGGUGCUAGUUAACAAAUAAUGGUGGCACAUGCUCCAGUAAACACUCCCUCUUUCUUGGUGCUAGUUAACAGGAUACUGUGCUUUUCACCUAUUACUUGCCACCUUCUGUUCCCUCCUUGACAUUCACUUCCAGCACCUGCUCAACUUAAAGUUCUGUCUGAAAUCUGCCUCUGUAAUAUAAGAAUCUCAGUUAGAAUACGCUUUAAUCUUACAAAUUUGUUAAGUCUUGGUAACAGAUUUGUGAAGAAUUCACAAUAGGCCAAUGUACCUUGGCAAACUAGUUGAGAACGCCUAUGUUUUUGCAUCAUAACAGACAAAGCCACUCCUUCAUUUAAAGGGAAACUUUAAUAACUGUGACAAGAGUUUCAAUUCAACUGCCUCUAUCCUUCCUAAAGAAAAUGUAGCCCAUUUUCUGCAGGGGUACAGAGUUCAGAUACAGAGUCUGAAAUAACUUCUAAAAUUUGACUCUACCGUUUCUAGGCAUCCGUCCUCCUCAGUGGCUUUCCUCCUGUAUCACUCAGCAUUUUGUUUACCCCUCAGCUGUAAGAUGUGUUUAUGUCUGUAUCACAUAGUAGAUGGUGAGCUCCUCAAAACAAAGACAAACUACAACAAUCUUUGUUCUCAUAAAUGCUAUUAAGCUACACUGUAAUUAGCGAGUUCACAAAAGUAAUAGAUUGUGAUGGAGUCAUAAUGCUGUAGAGAGAAUAUGGAGACGGAGGUCUGCAGACGGGCUGGGAAAACAGUCCAGGAGAUGACAGGAAAGUCUCUCCCCCCAGCAACGACAACAAGUCUAUCAAAUGAAGAGGGUGACUAUGCCACACAUCAGAAGGGGCAAAUGGCAUCAUGUAAAGACAGGAACUUCAUUUUUCCUUCCAUUAAGACCACAAGGUGUGGGUGACAGAUUUUAGAAAGCCAGGAAUGUCUCUGACAUAGGAAAUUGCCUAUGAGUCCUAGAAGGCCUGGGAGCUGGAAGGGACAGGCCAGGGAGGCAUCAUCAUUAGCAACUUAAGAGGAGGAGAAACUGAACAUAGAGGCAACUUUACUACUCAGCCACCAUGAACAAAAUAUCUAAAAGUGAAGGAAUUUGCAGCAUGACACAUUUCAGCUUCUACAGUCCAAUGACUGACUUAUUAUAUGUAAUUUCUGUUAACAAAACUUCUAUUCUAAUAAACUUACAGGAUGAAUAUGGGGAAGACUAUAUCCAUUGACGAAAAUGAUUCCCUACUAUAGAUGUCUUUCCCCUGGGUUGGGAGAAGAGACAGAAUCUGCCUUAAUGGAAAUCCUAGCUGAAUCUAAUUAACUGGGGGAAAAAAAUGCACUUAUGCAGGUCUACACUCACCCAUGGCUAACCCAAUAGACAGUGUGAAGCAUUUGUAGAAUUGAGUUAUAGCCUUCUAAGUGCCCUAAGCUAUUCUUUCUCAUUUCCUCUAAACAAAAAAGAAAAGGAUCUUUUAUCACACUCUUCCCUCAGUGGGAAAUAAUUAAAAGUGAUUUACAAGAGUCUCAUUUUAUUAU